rnacentral:rRNA from 1 species
AUGUACUUGCGGUGCGCGGUACACGACACGCCACGGCAAUGGCGCAAGUGGCUCCCCGCGGCAGAGUUCUGGUACAACUCCGCUCACCACUCCUCGCUCAAGUGUUCGCCGUUCAAGGCGCUGUUCUGCAAGGAACCAAACAUGGGCGGCCUACCACACCUCAGCUCCACCCUGCAAGAUCAAGCGGCAUCGCCAGAGCUGGACUGGACCGCGCACACCGAGAUGCUGCGCACCCAGCUCGCGCACGCCCAAGCUCGCUUCAAGAAACAAGCCGAUCGCCAUCGCGCGGAACGCGCCUUCGACGUCGGCGAACAAGUUCUCCUUAAACUACAGCCGUACGCGCAAUCAACCGUCGCCAACCGCCCGUGCCGCAAGCUCGCCUACAAGUUCUUCGGCCCCUUCGAAGUGACAGAGCGGACCGGAACCCUAGCAUAUCGCCUGCAGUUGCCUCCAGACAGCCGCAUCCAUCCGGUAUUUCACGUCUCUCAGCUCAAGCCCUUCACCCCAGAUUACACUCCAGUCUUCGCCGAGCUGCCGCGAGUGCCCGAUCUCACUGGGGGUGAAACGGAGCCCGUGGCAAUUUUGGAGCGGAGGAUGAUGAAGAAGGGCGAUGCACCAGUUGUGCAACUCCGUGUCCAAUGGGCAAACAUGCCACCAUCAGCCACCACUUGGGAAGAUUAUGUCGUUCUUCGCCAGCGCUACCCAUCAGUCUGUAUCUGGGACGGAGCUCCAUCUCAAGAGGAGGACAAUGUCGCGCCUACUGAUGCAUCAGUAGCGGACUGA